AUUGGUUAUGGAUUAUUUUCAUCGACAGUUCUUGGCGUAGUCACAGCAGGAUUUCAGAGAAACCCACCAGAGGCCACCUGGAAUCUACACUGAACCGGCAUUCGGUACCAAUAAGGGCCCAUUGAGCCCCCCGGAUCACUGCAUUCUUCAGGUGACCUUGCUCACCGACCCCGCAUCAGCUACGUUGCUUCCAACAUCACAAGGGGAGAAGACCACGACUGCAUUCUAUUGUUUAAUUUGGUUUACAAAUGGGUCUUACUUAAAUGAUAAACAAGGAUGGUUAAUCCAGUAAAAAGAUUUCCUUCUGCAGACUUAAGAAAUCACCACGGAAGAAGAAAAAUAAUAUAUCUGAUUCUUUCACAGAGCUCCAGAACUUAGGGAUCAUGGACUACAACGUGAAGAAUUUAUUUAUUGAAAGAGACAUCAAAUAAGACUCUAUACAGCCCAGUUGGAAAGGACCAAACCAGGAGGAGAAGAAGACGACAUCUGUUGUAGACAGCUGUCCCAAGAGUCCGGACCAGGC
rnacentral:lncRNA from 1 species